AUGGGGGCCACGGCGCCGCCCACGCUACUCCUGCUGCUGGCGGCCGCCCUGGCCCCGACCCAAACCUGCGCGGGUGAGUGCCGGGUCCGGAGGGAAAUGGCCUCUGGGAGAGGGGCGGGGAAGGCACCUGGGAAGCCGGGUCUCCACGUCGCACACCAGACCCUGCUCCUUCUCCACCGGCGUCCAGAACCCCGCGCCCUGCUCCCUGCCCGGCCCGCGCACCCGCCCGGGGUCCCGGGAGGAGAUCAGGGUUUCACGCGCACCGCCCCCAGGCUCACACUCGCUGCGGUAUUUCGUCACCGCGGUGUCCCGGCCCGGCCUCGGGGAGCCACGGUUCAUCUCUGUCGGCUACGUGGACGAUACGGAGUUCGUGCACUACGACAGCGACGAGGAGAAUCCGAGGAUGGAGCCGCGGACGCGGUGGGUGGAGCGGGAGGGGCCAGAGUAUUGGGAGGAGGAGACGCAGAGAGCCAAGAGAAGGGAGCAGUGGUACCAAGGGAGCCUGAGGAACCUGCGCAGCUACUACAACCAGAGCGAGGACGGUGAGUGACCCCGGGUCGGAGGUCACGACCCCUCCGCGUCCCCACACGGCCAGAGAGGUCCCUGGUCCCAAGUCCGAGGUUCAGGAGAAGAACAGACACGGGCCGGUUUCCCUUUCAGUUUUGAGGAGUCCGCGGGCGGGCGGGGCCGGGGUGGGGCGGGGUCUGACCGCGGGGUCCCGCAGGCUCACACACCUUCCAGAAGAUGUAUGGCUGUGACGUGGGGUCGGACGGGAGCCUCCUCCGCGGGUAUGUGCAGUUCGCCUACGAUGGCCGCGAUUACAUCGCUCUGAACGAAGACCUGAAAACGUGGAUGGCAGCGGACACGGCGGCACAGAUGACCCGGAGCAAGUGGGAUCAGGCUGCUGAGGCAGAGAGAAAGAGGGCCUACCUGGAGGGCGAGUGUGUGGAG